AGUGAACGCUGGCGGUAGGCCUAACACAUGCAAGUCGAACGGCAGCACAGUAAGAGCUUGCUCUUACGGUUGGCGAGUGGCGGACGAGUGAGGAAUACAUCGGAAUCUACUUUUUCGGGGGGGAUAACGUAGGGAAACUUACGCUAAUACCGCAUACGACCUACGGGUGAAAGCAGUGGAUCUUCGGACCUUGCGCGAUUGAAUUAGCCGAUGUCGGAUUAGCUAGUUGGCUGGGUAAAGGCCCACCAAGGCGACGAUCCGUAGCUGGUCUGAGAGGAUGAUCAGCCACACUGGAACUGAGACACGGUCCAGACUCCUACGGGAGGCAGCAGUGGGGAAUAUUGGACAAUGGGCGCAAGCCUGAUCCAGCCAUACCGCGUGGGUGAAGAAGGCCUUCGGGUUGUAAAGCCCUUUUGUUGGGAAAGAAAAGAAGCAGGUUAAAACCCCGAUGUUUUGACGGUACCCAAAGAAUAAGCCCCGGCUAACUUCGUG
rnacentral:rRNA from 1 species